rnacentral:rRNA from 1 species
UACCAGCACCCCGAGUGGUCGGGACGUUUAUUGGGCCUAAAGCAUCCGUAGCCGGUUCUACAAGUCUUCCGUUAAAUCCAACUGCUUAACAGGUGGGCUGCGGAAGAUACUAUAGAGCUAGGAGGCGGGAGAGGCAAGCGGUACUCGAUGGGUAGGGGUAAAAUCCGUUGAUCCAUUGAAGACCACCAGUGGCGAAGGCGGCUUGCCAGAACGCGCUCGACGGUGAGGGAUGAAAGCUGGGGGGGAGCAAACCGG